GCUUUAUUGUGCGCGAAACAUGUGAAUCUAACCAUAAACUAUUUCUUAAUCUUUCUAUCCUACCGCUACUCUAAUAUAUGUGAUAUCAGAACAACAUAGUAUGGAAACUUGUACCUAUUUUUGGAACCGUUUUACUGGACCACAAUAUCAGCCAAUAAUUCUUUUAAGACCACACAGAUUAUUGCUUUUAAUUACACAACAACGACACACUGUAUCACCAUAGCUAAUAGAGUAGGUGGUUUGGAAACUCUUUAGAAUAACAACAUAACUCUUUAUUUAUGUUAGUCAACGU